CCUACGGUGCGCAGCAGUCGAGAAUCAUUCACAAUGGGGGAAACCCUGAUGGUGCGACGCCGCGUGGGGGAAUGAAGGUCUUCGGAUUGUAAACCCCUGUCAUGUGGGAGCAAAUUAAAAAGAUAGUACCACAAGAGGAAGAGACGGCUAACUCUGUGCCAGCAGCCGCGGUAAUACAGAGGUCUCAAGCGUUGUUCGGAAUCACUGGGCGUAAAGCGUGCGUAGGCUGUUUCGUAAGUCGUGUGUGAAAGGCGCGGGCUCAACCCGCGGAAGGCACAUGAUACUGCGAGACUAGAGUAAUGGAGGGGGAACCGGAAUUCUCGGUGUAGCAGUGAAAUGCGUAGAGAUCGAGAGGAACACUCGUGGCGAAGGCGGGUUCCUGGACAUUAACUGACGCUGAGGCACGAAGGCCAGGGGAGCGAAAGGGAUUAGAUACCCCUGUAGUC
rnacentral:rRNA from 1 species